rnacentral:rRNA from 1 species
CAGUCGAACGAAGCACUUUAUUUGAUUUCUUCGGAAUGAAGAUUUUGUGACUGCCUGUCGGACGGGUGAGUAACGCGUGGGUAACCUGCCUCAUACACCUUGAUAACAGUUGGAAACGACUGCUAAUACCGCAUAAGCGCACAGGGUCGCAUGACCUGGUGUGAAAAACUCCGGUGGUAUGAGAUGGACCCGCGUCUGAUUAGCCAGUUGGUGGGGUAACGGCCUACCAAAGCGACGAUCAGUAGCCGACCUGAGAGGGUGACCGGCCACAUUGGGACUGAGACACGGCCCAAACUCCUACGGGAGGCAGCAGUGGGGAAUAUUGCACAAUGGGGGAAACCCUGAUGCAGCGACGCCGCGUGAGCGAAGAAGUAUUUCGGUAUGUAAAGCUCUAUCAGCAGGGAAGAAGAAAUGACGGUACCUGACUAAGAAGCACCGGCUAAAUACGUGCCAGCAGCCGCGGUAAUACGUAUGGUGCAAGCGUUAUCCGGAUUUACUGGGUGUAAAGGGAGCGCAGGCGGUACGGCAAGUCUGAUGUGAAAGCCCGGGGCUCAACCCCGGUACUGCAUUGGAAACUGUCGGACUAGAGUGUCGGAGGGGUAAGUGGAAUUCCUAGUGUAGCGGUGAAAUGCGUAGAUAUUAGGAGGAACACCAGUGGCGAAGGCGGCUUACUGGACGAUUACUGACGCUGAGGCUCGAAAGCGUGGGGAGCAAACAGGAUU